GAAAGAAAGAAAGAAAGAAAGAAAGGAAGAAAGAAAAGUUGGUUGAACCAGAACCUCGCAGGUCCAACUUAGUUUUGGUUUUGGUUUGGGUAU
rnacentral:ribozyme from 14 species